AGGAAGCUUUGGAGCUUCACAAGGUUAAUACUAUAUGGACCAAAACUGUGACUGCAUCGGGAUGUUCUGCUUCGGGUACCAUGGAGCCCCUCCUCCCAGAAGGGGUAACAAGGAAAAUAGGUUGUGAAGAGGAUGUGUGGUAUCCCAGACAAUCUUGCGGACCCACACAAGCAACGCUUCUGUUCCACAUCCUCAAUGGGAGGGAGGGAACUGCCAAUAAUCUUUUCUGCUGUCCUCACCACUCUCGGCAUCGCCUUCCUGUCCGAAGCAGGGAUGCUUCCAAACCAGGCUGUGAUGCUGUAUGACAGGAUGCUCCAGAUCGUCCCUCUGCAGAAAGUGGUGAGGACAGGGGAAGGAAGACUCAAGCACCAUCUGUAUUCUUCUUGCUGUCAGUGUAUAUAACAUGAAAGCUCCCUUUUUUUUUCAAGCUCUUUACCCAUUAAACCCCAAAGACCAAUGCUGCUAUAUCUCAAAUCUCCUUUGCAGAAGCAAAUGGUCACAAUGGAGACCUCUACAAAAUCUGUGCCAGUUUGAAUUUUGUUGUUGUUGUUGUUGUUUUGUUUGCAGGUGUUGUUUCUAAUUUCGUUUUAAAAAGUCAGUGUGUGAAAUUUGCUGUUGACUCCUUUUGGUUGAUCUGAGCUUUUGGUUCUAUCUUUAGGCUCCACGAAGCUGAGAAGUCUCCCGCGUUGACAAAUCAGGACACCGAUCCCAACAACGUGGCCUAUGCAGAUCUCAACUUCGACAAGGAGGCCCAGAAGAGACCCUGCCCACGGGUGGACAGCCCCCUCCAGUCGGAGUACGCCACCCUCCAGGCGGUGCAGCCCUCCAUCCAGGACGAAAACGUCACCUAUGCAGACUUGGAUAUGGUGCAGCUGAACAAAGCCCCCAAGCGGCCGGCCCUGAAGGCGGAGGAAGCGAGUUCGGAGUACGCCAGCGUCCAGGUGCAGAACAAGUGAUGUCCGGGAGAGGCGGCGGCCGCUUGGGGUUCGAAGGACCUCUGACCAGUUGGCUGAGGGUUCUUCCGCUAGGGCUUGGACUCGCGAUCUUCAUGCUCCUCAGAGGUCCCUUGGAAACUGUUUGGUGCUACUCACAGCUGGAUCCUGUGUCUGAACUUCUUCCUUCCCCGCUCGGCGGGUGGACGGAAGACGUCAAGAUGGGUGAAGGAUCUAACACGGCUUCUCUCACCGAGCACCACCGCCCUCUUCUCAACAUCCGUCAACACGCCAACAAGGACGAGCAGGCCACGAGAGGCGCGCGGGUGCAGGCCGGUGCCACGUCUGGCUCUUCCUGGUGAAGCUCUUCUCGUUGGCCUUUGGAGAGCACCAAGCUUCUGAGAUGCCACCUUGAGAUUCCUCCUUCGCGCAGCCCGCCUGUAUCGGUGGCCCCAGCUCGCCCCCUAAAACUUGAAAUAAACUUGUGGAUUGGGCCCUGUCCACUUCAAAGGUC